AGAUUUAUCGCCCAGGGAUGAGCCCGCGUAGGAUUAGCUAGUUGGUGGGGUAAUGGCCUACCAAGGCAACGAUCCUUAGCUGGUCUGAGAGGAUGAUCAGCCACACUGGGACUGAGACACGGCCCAGACUCCUACGGGAGGCAGCAGUGGGGAAUAUUGGACAAUGGGCGAAAGCCUGAUCCAGCAAUGCCGCGUGAGUGAUGAAGGCCUUAGGGUUGUAAAGCUCUUUUACCAGGGAUGAUAAUGACAGUACCUGGAGAAUAAGCUCCGGCUAACUCCGUGCCAGCAGCCGCGGUAAUACGGAGGGAGCUAGCGUUGUUCGGAAUUACUGGGCGUAAAGCGCGCGUAGGCGGUUACUCAAGUCAGAGGUGAAAGCCCGGGGCUCAACCCCGGAACUGCCUUUGAAACUAGGUGACUAGAAUCUUGGAGAGGUCAGUGGAAUU
rnacentral:rRNA from 1 species